rnacentral:rRNA from 1 species
CGCGCCUACGGGGGGCAGCAGUGAGGAAUAUUGGUCAAUGGGCGGAAGCCUGAACCAGCCAAGUCGCGUGAGGGAAUAAGGCCCUACGGGUCGUAAACCUCUUUUGCCGGGGAGCAAGGGCCGGGACGAGUCCUGGUCCGGAGAGUACCCGGAGAAAAAGCAUCGGCUAACUCCGUGCCAGCAGCCGCGGUAAUACGGAGGAUGCGAGCGUUAUACGGAUUUAUUGGGUUUAAAGGGUGCGUAGGCGGGCUUUUAAGUCAGCGGUAAAAAUUCGG